rnacentral:tRNA from 1 species
GCCCAGUCAGUUUUGAGCAUCCAACUCUUGAUUUCAGCUCAGGUCAUGUUCUCGCAGUUCGUGGGUUCGAACCCCACACUGGGCU